rnacentral:rRNA from 1 species
UACGAAGGGUGCAAGCGUUACUCGGAAUUACUGGGCGUAAAGCGUGCGUAGGUGGUUUGUUAAGUCUGAUGUGAAAGCCCUGGGCUCAACCUGGGAAUGGCAUUGGAUACUGGCAGGCUAGAGUGCGGUAGAGGGCAGUGGAAUUCCCGGUGUAGCAGUGAAAUGCGUAGAGAUCGGGAGGAACAUGUGUGGCGAAGGCGACUGCCUGGACCAGCACUGCCACGGAGGCACGAAAGCGUGGGGAGCAAACAGGAUUAGAUACCCUGGUAGUCCACGCCCUAAACGAUGCGAACUGGAUGUUGGGUGCAACUUGGCACUCAGUAUCGAAGCUAACGCGUUAAGUUCGCCGCCUGGGGAGUACGGUCGCAAGACUGAA